UACGGAGGGUGCGAGCGUUGUCCGGAUUUAUUGGGUUUAAAGGGUGCGUAGGUGGCUUUAUAAGUCAGUGGUGAAAUACAGCCGCUCAACGGUUGAGGUGCCAUUGAUACUGUAAAGCUUGAAACAAGUGGAGGUUGCCGGAAUGGAUGGUGUAGCGGUGAAAUGCAUAGAUAUCAUCCAGAACACCGAUUGCGAAGGCAGGUGACUACGUUUGAUUUGACACUGAGGCACGAAAGCAUGGGGAGCAAACAGG
rnacentral:rRNA from 1 species